rnacentral:rRNA from 1 species
UACGUAGGUGGCGAGCGUUGUCCGGAUUUACUGGGCGUAAAGGGAGCGUAGGCGGACUUUUAAGUGAGAUGUGAAAUACCCGGGCUCAACUUGGGUGCUGCAUUUCAAACUGGAAGUCUAGAGUGCAGGAGAGGAGAAUGGAAUUCCUAGUGUAGCGGUGAAAUCCGUAGAGAUUAGGAAGAACACCAGUGGCGAAGGCGAUUCUCUGGACUGUAACUGACGCUGAGGCUCGAAAGCGUGGGGAGCAAACAGGAUUAGAUACCCUGGUA